AGUGAACGCUGGCGGCGUGCCUAAUACAUGCAAGUCGAACGGAGUGGCGCACGGGUGAGUAAUGUAUAGCUAAUCUGCCCUACACUAGAGGACAACAGUUGGAAACGACUGCUAAUACUCUCUAGUGUAGGAUGAGGCUAUACUGUAUCAGCUAGUUGGUGAGGUAAUGGCUAACCAAGGCUAUGACGCAUAACUGGCUUGAGAGGAUGAUCAGUCACACUGGAAGGGAGACACGGUCCGGGCUCCUUCGAGAGUCAGCGGUAGGGUAUUUUGCUCACUGGGGGAGUCCGUGAAACAGCAUCGCGUGGUAGAGGAUGACACUUUUCGGGGAGUGAGCUCCUUUUGUUAAGGAAGCGGUACCUAACGAAUAAGCACCGGCUAACUCCGUGCCAGCAGCCGCGGUAAUAC
rnacentral:rRNA from 1 species